UUUGAAAAGAUAGAUGCACCUACUCCUAUGUUUAUUGCAGCAUUAUUUACAAUUGCCAAGAAAGAGAAGCAACCCAAAUCAGUGGAUGAGUGGAUAAAGAAGAUGUGGUAUACAUCUACAAUGGAAUAUUACCCAGCUAUAAAAAUUGCAGGACUUAACACAGACGAAUGCCUCAUUCUUGAAGAAAGUGGUGGAAACUAUAUACACUUCAUGGUCAGACAGACCAGGCACCAAAUCUCAGCCUCCCGAGAACAACCAAAGUCAGCUCAUCAAGGAAAUUCUGCAUACAUUUGUGUACAAAGUAUCAGCCCGGAGAUGUGGAGUCAAAGAUACAGGGGCGCCUGGGCGGCUCAGUUGGUUAAGCAUCUGCCUUUGGC